UCCAAUUCACAGAGGACCACUAUGUUUCAACUGUCCACAGUCGAACAAUCCCUCUCUUUGUGAAACAGUUGAUGUCUGUAAUGUAGAUGAGGUCUGUCACAUUCACUUAGAAAGAGAGUUUGGAGAUGCAUUUUAUUCUCAGUCUUGUCAGAAGAAACGAAGUUGUUUGAGACAGGAAACGUCUAGUAUAUUUGGAAAACGAUCAGAGCAAAGCUGUACAAACUGUUGCGAAAGGGAUCUGUGCAACAUCAGAGUGCCU